GACGAACGCUGGCGGCGUGCUUAACACAUGCAAGUCGAACGGAAAGGCCCUGCUUUUGUGGGGUGCUCGAGUGGCGAACGGGUGAGUAACACGUGAGUAACCUGCCCUUGACUUUGGGAUAACUUCAGGAAACUGGGGCUAAUACCGGAUAGGAGCUCCUGCUGCAUGGUGGGGGUUGGAUAGUUUCGGCGGUUGGGGAUGGACUCGCGGCUUAUCAGCUUGUUGGUGGGGUAGUGGCUUACCAAGGCUUUGACGGGUAGCCGGCCUGAGAGGGUGACCGGCCACAUUGGGACUGAGAUACGGCCCAGACUCCUACGGGAGGCAGCAGUGGGGAAUAUUGCACAAUGGGCGGAAGCCUGAUGCAGCAACGCCGCGUGCGGGAUGACGGCCUUCGGGUUGUAAACCGCUUUCGCCUGUGACGAAGCGCGAGUGACGGUAAUGGGUAAAGAAGCACCGGCUAACUACGUG
rnacentral:rRNA from 1 species